rnacentral:rRNA from 1 species
AGUGAACGCUGGCGGUAGGCCUAACACAUGCAAGUCGAACGGCAGCACAGUAAGAGCUUGCUCUUACGGGUGGCGAGUGGCGGACGGGUGAGGAAUACAUCGGAAUCUACUUUUUCGUGGGGGAUAACGUAGGGAAACUUACGCUAAUACCGCAUACGACCUACGGGUGAAAGCAGGGGAUCUUCGGACCUUGCGCGAUUGAAUGAGCCGAUGUCGGAUUAGCUAGUUGGCGGGGUAAAGGCCCACCAAGGCGACGAUCCGUAGCUGGUCUGAGAGGAUGAUCAGCCGCACUGGAACUGAGACACGGUCCAGACUCCUGCGGGAGGCAGCAGUGGGGAAUAUUGGACAAUGGGCGCAAGCCUGAUCCAGCCAUACCGCGUGGGUGAAGAAGGCGUUCGGGUUGUAAAGCCCUUUUGUUGGGAAAGAAAAGCAGCAGGUUAAUACCCCGCUGUUCUGACGGUACCCAAAGAAUAAGCACCGGCUAACUUCGUG